rnacentral:rRNA from 1 species
AUUGAACGCUGGCGGCAUGCCUUACACAUGCAAGUCGAGCGGUAACAGGUCUUCGGAUGCUGACGAGUGGCGAACGGGUGAGUAAUACAUCGGAACGUGCCCGAUCGUGGGGGAUAACGGAGCGAAAGCUUUGCUAAUACCGCAUACGAUCUACGGAUGAAAGCAGGGGACCGCAAGGCCUUGCGCGGACGGAGCGGCCGAUGGCAGAUUAGGUAGUUGGUGGGAUAAAAGCUUACCAAGCCGACGAUCUGUAGCUGGUCUGAGAGGACGACCAGCCACACUGGGACUGAGACACGGCCCAGACUCCUACGGGAGGCAGCAGUGGGGAAUUUUGGACAAUGGGCGAAAGCCUGAUCCAGCCAUGCCGCGUGCAGGAUGAAGGCCUUCGGGUUGUAAACUGCUUUUGUACGGAACGAAAAGACUCUUUCUAAUAAAGAGGGUCCAUGACGGUACCGUAAGAAUAAGCACCGGCUAACUACGUG